AGUAACGGGCAACAUGGGAACUGAAAUCAUUAGACCGUUUCUGAAACUCGUAGUGAAGUAUGUUGUUUAAUUUGUAAACACGCAAAUAUACCACAAUUUGUAUAACUAUAGAAUAAUUUAGUUACAAGUGUUGCACGGCUGUCUUCAGAAACUGUGGUUAGAUCCAUUAAAUUGACGUAAUAUUUAUUAUAAAGUAGUUCGCCGCUAUAUUGGUAGUGAU
rnacentral:rRNA from 1 species